rnacentral:rRNA from 1 species
GAUGAACGCUGGCGGCGUGCCUAACACAUGCAAGUCGAGCGAGGGUUUGCUCAGUAUUGAGUAUUCUAAGUCUAGAAUGUUCAAUUCUGAGCAAAACCAAGCGGCGGACGGGUGAGUAACGCGUGGGUAACCUGCCCUAUACACAUGGAUAACAUACUGAAAAGUUUACUAAUACAUGAUAAUAUAUAUUUGCGGCAUCGCAGAUAUAUCAAAGUGUUAGCGGUAUAGGAUGGACCCGCGUCUGAUUAGCUAGUUGGUGAGAUAACUGCCCACCAAGGCGACGAUCAGUAGCCGACCUGAGAGGGUGAUCGGCCACAUUGGAACUGAGACACGGUCCAAACUCCUACGGGAGGCAGCAGUGGGGAAUAUUGCACAAUGGGCGAAAGCCUGAUGCAGCAACGCCGCGUGAACGAUGAAGGUCUUCGGAUCGUAAAGUUCUGUUGCAGGGGAAGAUAAUGACGGUACCCUGUGAGGAAGCCCCGGCUAACUACGUGCCAGCAGCCGCGGUAAUACGUAGGGGGCUAGCGUUAUCCGGAUUUACUGGGCGUAAAGGGUGCGUAGGUGGUCCUUCAAGUCGGUGGUUAAAGGUUACAGCUCAACGUAUAAGCCGCCCAAACUGGAGGACUUGUGUGCAGGAGAGGAAAGUG